UACGUAGGGUGCGAGCGUUAAUCGGAAUUACUGGGCGUAAAGGGUGCGUAGGCGGCCUUGUAAGUCAGUGGUGAAAUACUCCAGCUUAACUGGAGGGGUGCCAUUGAUACUGCAGGGCUUGAGUUAAGUUGAAGUUGGCGGAAUUGACGGUGUAGCGGUGAAAUGCUUAGAUAUCGUCAAGAACACCGAUAGUGAAGACAGCUAACUAAACUUUUACUGACGCUGAGGCACGAAAGUGUGGGGAUCAAACAGG
rnacentral:rRNA from 1 species